rnacentral:misc_RNA from 1 species
GAAGUGCGAUAAGUAAUGUGAAUUGCAUAAAUUCGUGAAUCAUCGAAUCUUUGAACGCAUAUGGCACUCUUUGGUAUUCCAAAGAGUAUGUCUGUUUGAGUAUCAGUUACCUUAUUCUUCCAACACCUGGGGGUGUUUGUGAAGGUCUUGAGGCGUCAGCGAGACUCCCUUGGGAGCUUCGUUGUCCCUUUAAACGUAUCACGGUUGCUGCAUACGGGAAAGUGCUACUACUCUCGCAAAGUGCGAUGAAAGUGUGCCGUAAAAACGCACCCACUCCACUAAGCUAGAGUUCUCGUGGGCUUUUGUGCUUGACUGGCAACUCGGUAGAGUUGUGCAUCGGCAACCGCUUGCAAUCAAGGCAACUGAUACUCAAAUCAGACAAGACUACCCGCUGAACUUAA